GCCAGGCAUGGUGGCACAUGCCUGUAAUCCCAGCUACUUGGGAGGCUGAGGCAGGAGAAUCGCUUGAACCCAGGAAGCAGAAGUUGCAGUGAACGGAGAUCGCACCACUGCACUCCAGCCUGGGCGACAGAGCGAGACCCUGUCUCAA
ensembl:misc_RNA Metazoa_SRP Metazoan signal recognition particle RNA